ACCUCUGUGGUACAGUGGCUUAGUGCACAUUCCAAAAUAUGCCCAUGAGCCAUACACCAUGUAUAAUUAUGGGAACGGGGCGCAGGGUUCGAUUCCCCGCCGGAGGUU